AUUUUGGACCAUGGGCGCAAGCCUGAUCCAGCCAUGCCGCGUCAGUGAAGAAGGCCUUCGUGUUGUAAAGCUCUUUCGGACGGAAAGAAAUCGCCCAGGCUAAUACCCUGCGCGGAUGACGGUACCCUCAUAAUAAGCCCCGGCUAACCACGUCCCAACCGCCGCGGUAAUACGUAGGGUGCUAGCGUUCAUCGGAAUUACUGGGCGUAAAUCGUGCGCAGGCGGUUGAUUAAGACAGGCGUGAAAUCCCCGGGCUUAACCUGGGAACUGCGCUUGUGACUGGUCAGCUAGAGUGCGGCAGAGGGGGGUGGAAUUCCACGUGUAGCAGUGAAAUGCGUAGAGAUGUGGAGGAACACCGAUGGCGAAGGCAGCCCCCUGGGCCGAUACUGACGCUCAUGCACGAAAGCGUGGGUAGCAAACAGG
rnacentral:rRNA from 1 species